CAGACUUUCUUUGGGGGUCAGAUGACAACCCCCAGUGGUAACCAGGCUUCCUAUAGUACUCAGAUGAUGCCCUGUGAGGGUAACCAGGCUCAGAUGGCCACCCUACAUGGAUCCCAGACCUCAUAUGGCUCGCAGUUGACAAACCCCAGAGGUGGCCUGACCCAUUAUACGGGACAGGUGAUGUCCCUUGUUACCCUUAUGGGUAGCCAGCUGCACUUUCUGGACAGAUCCCCAUCUAUUUCAAAUUCUCACUUGGCACAAGAACAGCCUCCAGAAUGUUCUUCAAGCUUUCCUUCGACAGCAGGAAAUCUCUCAGUCGUGAAAGAAGAGGACCUCAUGACUUGGGUCUCUGAGUUGAAGAAAAGGAAGAAAAGGAAGAAUUGGAAGACAUACAAGUGCAGACAAUGUGGACAGCUAUUCAUAAGAAUUUCCCACCUCCAAUGGCAUAUUCGCAAACACACUGGGGAGAAGCCCUACAAAUGCGCCAUACCUGGAUGCCAGUUGACAUUCGCCUGAGCUCAGCCAACACAUGAAAAUGCACUGAGAGAGGCACUCCUCUAGUUGAGCAGUGUGGAACAAGGACUAUUCACGGUCGGAUAACCUAAGGCACCACCCGGCAUUGAACCCAUCAGUCCUUCCUAGUGCUGUGGUUAAAGGCCUGCACCACCACAUGGGUCUUUCAGAAAAGCAAAAGGACCUUCUUUUGGACACUGUAUUCUGCCUAAGAGCUAUCAGUUGGCAUAUUUUACUCAAGAUAAUGUGUGAACUUUGU